rnacentral:rRNA from 1 species
GACGGAGGAUGCAAGUGUUAUCCGGAAUCACUGGGCGUAAAGCGUCUGUAGGUGGUUUAAUAAGUCAACUGUUAAAUCUUGAGGCUCAACCUCAAAAUCGCAGUCGAAACUAUUAGGCUAGAGUAUAGUAGGGGUAAAGGGAAUUUCCAGUGGAGCGGUGAAAUGCGUAGAUAUCUGCAGGAACACCCGUGGCGAAAGCGGCGAGCUGGAUCACUACUGACGCUGAGGAACGAAAGCUAGGGGAGCAAACAGG